GGCUCAGUGGUCUAGUGGUAUGAUUCUGGCUUUGGGUGCGAGAGAGCCACGGGUUCGAUUCCCGUCUGAGCCC
rfam:Nematostella vectensis strain CH2 x CH6 NEMVEscaffold_39_Cont6462, whole genome shotgun sequence.